UACGUAGGGUGCAAGCGUUAAUCGGAAUUACUGGGCGUAAAGCGCACGUAGGCGGCUUGUUAAGUCAGGGGUGAAUCCUGGAGCUCAACUCCAGAACUGCCUUUGAUACUGGCGAGCUUGAGUUCGGGAGAGGUGAGUGGAACUGCGAGUGUAGAGGUGAAAUUCGUAGAUAUUCGCAAGAACACCAGUGGCGAAGGCGGCUCACUGGCCCGAUACUGACGCUGAGGUGCGAAAGCGUGGGGAGCAAACAGGG
rnacentral:rRNA from 1 species